GUUUAUGUUACAUAAGCAGCUGAAUACGGAUCAGUGCUUAUUCAGUCAAUUGCUACUCAUUUCAUGUUUAGCUUACCUUGAAAAUAGGGAUAUACUUAGAGACCUAUAUCAUUUUGGAAAGAAAAUGACCAAUACAAAGACUUCUAUUGGUAUAAUAAAUUAUAUUGAUGGACAUUUAACCUUGUAUCAUGCACGGAGAUAA
rnacentral:lncRNA from 1 species